CAAUAGCGUAUAUUAAAGUUGUUGCAGUUAAAAAGCUCGUAGUUGGAUUUCUGGUGGGAGCGGCCGGUCCGCCGUAAGGUGUGUACUUGGUUGUCUCCUGUCAUCCUUGUGGGAACUGCUCUGGCAUUAAGUUGUCGGGGUUAGGGAACACAUCGUUUACUGUGAAAAAAUUAGAGUGUUUAAAGCAGGCUUAUGCCGUUGAAUACAUUAGCAUGGAAUAAUAAGAUAGGACUUUGGCGUCUAUUUUGUUGGUUUGCGCACCAAGGUAAUGAUUAAUAGGGAUAGUUGGGGGUAUUCGUAUUUAAUUGUCAGAGGUGAAAUUCUUGGAUUUAUGAAAGACGAACUUCUGCGAAAGCAUUUACCAAAGAUGUUUNCAUUA
rnacentral:rRNA from 1 species